GCACAAGAAGACUGGCUCUUUGCCAACGUACCUCCCAUUCAUAAGAGUGACUUCAGAGGUGCACUUUGUGGCUUUUCCAAGUCUUGCAUCAACAAUUUUAUUCUACUUUUUAGAAGAUGGCAGACAGUCCCCUCAUCAGCUUUCAAACGGACUUCCCUGGUGGUGCAGUGGCUAAGAAUCCGCCUGCCAAUGCAGGGGACCGUGUUCGAUCCCUGGUCCAGGAAGAUCCCACAUGCCAUGGAGCAACUAAGCCCGCGAGCCACAACUGCUGAGCCCAGGCGCCGCAACUACUGAAGCCCACAUGCCUAGAGCCCGUGCUCCGCAAAAAGAGAAGCCACCGCAAUGAGAAGCCCGUGCACCACAACAAAGAGUAGCCCCCUCUCGCCGCAACUAGAGAGAAAGCUCACGCGCAGCAACGAAGACCCAACGCAGCCAAAAAACACCAAAUGAAUUGGUAAUGAAUUUAAAUAUACUUUACUGAAUAAUAAAAACCCUUUCUCCAACCUUGCUGAGAAAAUUGGAAGCUGACUAAAGGAGAUUUAUAAACUUGAAACAAAUGUCACAUCUUAUCAAGGACAAGAGCCAGUUCAAACUUGACUACAUAUAUUUCCUGACUAUUCUGAAGCUGGGACAUUCUGGAUUUCUUAGCUGUC